GCGGCGGCGGCUUCAGCUUCGGCAAUGGCAACAACGGCUGCUGGUCGGGCUCCGCAACUAUGUCUCCUAUGCUACCUCCCUCCUCCAGGAAAGGAGAAUUAAAGAGAUUGUGUUGAAGGCCAUGGGACAGGCAAUCAGUAAAUCUGUUGCUGUUGCAGAGAUUAUCAAGAAAAGGAUCGGUUACACCAGGAUACCAACAUCAGUUCUGUCAGCAUCACUGAUGUCUGGGAACCCAUAGAAGAAGGCCUUGUCCCAUUGGAGAUGACUCGGCAUGUUUCGAUGAUAUCAAUUACUUUGUCCCCCAGAGAGCUGGACAAGCAAACUCCUGGGUGAGUCAGAUGGAGGUCAGAUCCGAUUUCCUAGGCUGGUAUCGAUUGUUGCUGAUUACCAUUCAUCAGGUUUUAUGGCUUCAAUGGCAAAGCCAUUACAUAUGUAUUUCUUAUCUCUUUAUUACUCUCCUAUCUUAAUAUGUAUUUGUGGCUAACAGGUACUGUUCUUAUAAUGUGUUCCACAUUAUUUUUUCAAUCUGCAUGGGAGAUAACAGAACUAUGGUACAAGCUGCACUAAUUGAUUUGUGGCUAACACUCCUAUCUUAAUAUGUAUUUGUGGCUAACACUGCACUAAUUGAUCCUGACCUUGCAUCUGUCAUAUGGCGAUCGCUGAUGUUACUAUAGACUCCAGGAGGUUGUAUUUCCAAAAUAGGAGAGGAUGCAGUUGUCCUUAAGUUCUGUAAAUAUGCAUACUCACCUUUAGGUGCUUCUGAGCACGUAUCUGCAAUUCUUCAAUUACUUGUGGCAUACCUCUUGUCCAUUUUAGCUAGCAAAUUACUAUAUAAAUUUGGAUGAAUUUGUAGGUUAUUGGCUGAGUAUAUGAGUAGCAUUAAUUUCUUAAAUUUACAGAACUAUUAUGCUUGAGACCUAUUGGCUUUCUAUGCCCUGUCAAAGGUCUUGUUUGCUACUGAUUUAGCCUCAUAGCUGUGACUUAACAAGCUCCAACACAGUUUGUAUUUUAUAUUUAAUUUGGGAUGUUAUCAAAGAAAUAUAUUUGAUUUCUCUAGUCUCAGUUUGUUCCAUGCAGCUGAGAAUCAGAUAGCAUUACAACGUUUGUUUAUAUCUUGCAAUUACAAUUUUUGAGAAUGCGUAUGUCAUGGAGAGCUGCUAUAUAUUUAUCCUGUUCUUUUAAAAAUGGCAGAAGAGGAAAUUUUGAUGCCAUAGAUUGUCUCUUUCUGUUUUUGAUUGUCUUGGAACAAUAUGACUGAAGAGAGUAGCUUAAGAAAAGUGGCCUGGUGAUAAGGUCCAAUAGGCAAUGUGAAGGACAAGAUCAGCAAGAGAGUCGCAACACUCCAAUAAGCAGGGUCAUUGUCAUGUUAUUGUCACAAACUUGUCACGUUAAGUGACUAGUUUGAUGUUAAGUGAUAUUACAUAUAUAAUAUACUUGUUCGAUACAUGAAUCAAUGUAUGGAUAAUGUGAUCACUUUUGAAUGUCA